GUAGGGAAUAUUGGACAAUGGGGGCAACCCUGAUCCAGCGACGCCGCGUGAGUGAUGAAGGCCUUCGGGUCGUAAAGCUCUGUUGCAGGGGAAGAACACAAUGACGGUACCCUGCUAGAAAGGAUCGGCUAACUUCGUGCCAGCAGCCGCGGUAAGACGAGGGAUCCUAGCGUUGGUCGGAAUUAUUGGGCGUAAAGCGGGUGCAGGUGGCUGGGUAAGUCAGAUGUGAAAGCCUGGGGCUUAACCCCAGAAGUGCAUUUGAUACUGCUGAGCUUGAGUGCUGGAGAGGCUAUUAGAAUUCCUGGUGUAGUGGUGAAAUACGUAGAUAUCAGGAGGAAUACCGGAGGCGAAGGCGGAUAGCUGGCCAGACACUGACACUCAGACCCGAAAGCGUGGGGAUCAAACAGGAUUAGAAACCCGGGUAGUCC
rnacentral:rRNA from 1 species